GACGAACGCUGGCGGCGUGCCUAACACAUGCAAGUCGAACGGAGUCGAUUGGAAUGAAGCUUCGGCAGAAUGAAAAAAGACUUAGUGGCGGACGGGUGAGUAACGCGUGGGGAACCUGCCUUACAGAGGGGGAUAACGUUUGGAAACGAACGCUAAUACCGCAUAUGAUAGUAUUAUCGCAUGAUAGAGCUAUGAAAGGAGCAAUCCGCUGUAAGAUGGCCCCCGCGUCCGAUUAGAUAGUUGGUGGGGUAACGGCCUACCAAGUCGACGAUCGGUAGCCGGACUGAGAGGUUGAACGGCCACAUUGGGACUGAGACACGGCCCAAACUCCUACGGGAGGCAGCAGUGGGGGAUAUUGCACAAUGGGGGAAACCCUGAUGCAGCAACGCCGCGUGAGGGAAGAAGGCCUUCGGGUUGUAAACUUCUUUAGUAGGGUACGAAGAACGUGACGGUACCUACAGAAAAAGACAACGGACGUAACUACGUGCCAGCAG
rnacentral:rRNA from 1 species